rnacentral:hammerhead_ribozyme from 1 species
GCACUGCUGAGGAGUCCCAUAAUAGGAUGAGACGGCCGUCUAGUGU